rnacentral:piRNA from 1 species
CAUGGAGAGAUUGGGGUGUUCAAGAGGU